UAGGGAAUAUUAGUAAUGGGCGAAAGCCUGAACUAGCAACGCCGCGUGUGCGAAGAAGGCCUUCGGGUUGUAAAGCACUUUUUGAGAGGAUGAGGAAGGACGGUACUCUCAGAAUAAGUCUCGGCUAACUACGUGCCAGCAGCCGCGGUAACACGUAGGAGGCGAACGUUAUCCGGAUUUACUGGGCGUAAAGCGCGUGUAGGUGGUUUGGUAAGUAGGGCGUGAAAGCUCCUGGCUCAACUGGGAGAGGCCGUUCUAAACUGCCGAGCUAGAGGAUGGUAGAGGGAGGUGGAAUUCCGGGUGUAGCGGGGGAAUGCGCAGAUAUCCGGAGGAACACCAGGGGCGAAAGCGGCCUCCUGGACCAUUCCUGACACUCAGACGCGA
rnacentral:rRNA from 1 species